GCAAUCUAUCAGGAAAGAUUACCAAAAACCAUUUGACAGUGAUUAGCACAACAGAUGUGAGAAAUUAAAGCAUAAGAUCUUCUUAACAAAGGCUUUGAGGAGUAAAUGAGAGAAAUAGAAAACAAAUGGCUUCUACUCUGCUUUUCUUAAACAUCGCAGUACUUGUGAAACUCUCUUCUUGAACAAAGCAAUUUCACAGCAUGAAGGAAAGCUGCAGAACCAUUCAGCUGUCAAGAAGGUGACUGAGAUGACAGUGUUUGCUUCUGGUCACUAUCAAAGUUAAACAUGCAAUGAAUACCUAGUAUGAUCUAAACUAUACAUCAGCUCCUUCAUAAGCUCAUGUCAUUAAAUCAUGUUGGUUGGAGAAGUGGGCUCCAGUCAAAAGUACUGUCAAUAGAGGACAGUAAGAGGUCAAAGACACCACAGCUGCCUUUCCAAAGACAUAAUCCUGCAGAGCCUAUCAAAUACUUAUUGUGAGAUUAAUUUUUCAGCAUUAUGAUUGGUUCCCCAAGGGAGAAAGCAGGCUAUAGCAGAGGACAAACAAAUAAAAGCACUAGGGGAAAAAGAAAUCUUCAUGCUUCUGGAUAAGUGUCAGCUCUGUAUUGUUAUAAGCUCUCUGGAUAAAGUACCAGUUCAAAAAUGCUUCCCUACAGUGAUACAUUCAAUAAGUCAUUAUCUGUCCUUUCCUACGUCAUUUGAUUUAGCUUCAGCAAUAUAUACUUUUCUUCCCACAAAACCAUAUUAAGACGUUAGAUCAAGGAGAAGUUCAUAAUUUCCUAGUGAUUAUAGGAAGAAAAAAUGGGAGAAAUACUAGAAUAAAAACACAUAAUGGAGAAUUAAGAAUGCUGUCAUGCACUGGAGCUGUGAAGGUCCUCUGCCACAAGAAUUAGUACUGAUUACCCUGGGUGUUUGACUCUCUGAACGAAUCACAAGUUACUAUUUUCCCCAGCAAAACUUUCACUGAUUAAAAAUACAAACUAAACCACCUUUCUUUGUAAAACUGUUUGUGUCUAGGAAGUAAUUUUUCCUCAUUACAUAUCAGAAGAUGUUUUCCCUUGUUACGGCACAUAUACCAAUGCGUCUAGAUCCUUACAAACAAAAGUACCAGCCAAUUUUCUGAAGUUAAAGAAAAGAGAAACACUUUGAGUCAAAACAGUAAAGCAAGGGACAACAUUAAUACAAAGGUACCCACUAUCGGUACAGAACUAUACAUAUUACAUUCGACUAUCCCAUUUUUUUUCCAUUUCUGCCAAACAUGGAUACAGUUAUACAAAAGAAAAGGUCUUCAACAAGCAGAACCUAGGUGAGCAGUAUACAGGAGCAUCUGAGUUCAUAGACACUAAAAGUGGAUGCAACUGUAUUUGCAGGAUACAUUACUUGGGUGCAUUGUACCAAAACCAAAGCUAAAAUUGCCAUGGUAGCAGUAUACGUUGGCUGUGAAGCAGAUGCCAAUAGGCGGUCACCUGACAAAACCCUACAACUGGGUUUCCAGGAUCAUGUGCCAAACAUGCUAACAUACUGACAGACUGUGCUUUAGCAGACUGAAAGGGUUCUAGAACAUGCUGAUAUUUCACAGGUGUAACAAUCUACAUGCUAAUGUCAGCAUUCAGCUAAACUAAGUGUAAGACUCACUGCUUGUGUGCUUCACAAUUCUGUUUUAAAGCAGCUACCACUUUUCUUUCAUUACCAAACGUGCCCCUUUAAUGUGAAUGCACAUUGUUUAAAGUUGUUACAAAUACAAUAGCUUAAGCAAGGAAGAAAAUCUAUUGAUAAGAGAGGCUUGACACAAAUAUUACCUAAGUAUUACCUAAGACAUAAGUACUACCUAAGAAACACAAGCAGAAGCAAAUCCUAUUCCUUAGUCCUACAGUCGCCAUGCUCUUUUCUUAUCUUGAAAUCUUUCUUUUCUGAAAAGAAGUCUUAGCCAUCUCUCCAUAAAUUUGAGUGGUCCCUUUUAAAACCUGUUUUGUAUAUCAGUGAUGACCUUUGCUACGUUCAAAAGUAAUCCGUAUACAUUUGCGCUGCAACUAAGAAAACAUACCACAUCUGCAACUGUUUGCAAUUCACCUAUAUAGCUGGCAUGACCCAAAAACUCAUAGUGAAGAAAGAGACGACUUUCCAGACAGUGCUGUAGUUGCAGACAACUACAAUCAGAGAGAUGGUGUGCUGAGCAUAAAUGGAGAGCACAAUCCAAUAGGCAUUGCCCCAGCUGUGUCAUUUGGCACUUAACUGGUAGAUGUGGCAAUUAAAUUUGAUGUAUCCACUCCAGUGGUAUUUUAUACCCCUCAGAUGUUGACCUCAGCAACUCACAGAGCCGGUCACUGUGGGUAUAUGCCUACAGCAUGGAACAAAUUUUUCCCAAAAUGCAACUGAAAAGAUAAAACUCAUCUCUGAUGCACUUCCCUUUCAACACUCACUUUCCCUUUUGAUCAUCUAUGUAAAAGCUUGAGUGGUUUACUUAGUGAAACAACACAAGGAAGUACUAUAAAGUAGUGGAAGUGUGAAAAGAAAUUGUUUAAAUCAGUAUGUGGAAGACUGCUACGUGGUACCAAUGAAGCAGCAGUAACAGCCUGCAUGCUUCUCACCACAAGAAGCAAACUGGGUUGAAGCUUCUACUGGUGAUGUUAAAUUAGCUUUGCAGAGCUGCCAUGAAAAUUUAUCAGGUCAGCCGGAAAAUAAAUACUUAUGCUUCCAUGUUGUGACAAGGAUGGGGGAUUGUGGAGAAGUGCAUUAAUUUGACUCAUUUAUUUAGGAGGGCAAGAUGACAUUAUGUCCUUUAAAAGAGUGGAUUAUUUUAAGCUUCUAUGUAUGGCAUUGCUUUUAUAAAGAGGAUCAAUGGCUCCUCCUGAGCUACCCACGCAGCAGGCUAGCUGCUGCCAGAUAUGCCUGCUCACAAGUGGUUCUGAUAGCACUUGGGAACCUCACCUGGGUGCAGUGGGAUGUUUUUACCCCUGUCCUAAGAGUAGGGUGCGGGAGUCUGUUUUGCAUGCUUCAUUUUGUCUGCUGGCUCCUGCUAGUUCUUGUAUGACUGACACAGGCUCUGUCUCCUCCACGCUGAAAAGCAGAGGGCUAGAUCUGAUGGGAUUACCUGGAAAUGUGUCCCAGCGAUUACAGUUAUGUAAAAGGCUUGCUACAAUGAAGCUCACUUACUUUUGCUGCCAGCACACAUGAAUGUUUCAGGAUUUACUUCCAAGUGUAAAAGACCUAACUGAUACAGCACAAUUUCUCUACUCUAAACAUAUCCUUUCUUUUAAAAAGGGUGAGUGAGGGCUUUUGAUUUUGCAAUACAAUCAUUAUGGUAAUGUUACUCUCCUGACCCAGCAAGAGCCAUAGAUCACACUUCUAAGGCUCUCUUUGAUCAGAAUGUCUUUACAUGAUAUGCAGUUCAUACCUACAUUAUUUCAUCUGCCUUCCACUAGACACGGCAUCCAGAUUUCCCUUUUGUUCUGCAAAGCAACUUCAAAGCUAUGCCUCCUAUUCAGGGACAGCUUAUUCUCAAAAUGCAAAUACAAAUACAAGCAUAUGGAGUUCUGCACAGAACCACCUUUACAUCUUUCUUUCUACCACAUUCUCAACUGCAGCUGAAAACUGUCCAACAUAAAUGCCACGUUUUAUUUUUCUUAUUUUCAGUCAUUAAAGUAUCAUUACUGUACUUAGGACUGUCACGUAAGAAUAGCGCCCAUCUCACUACAAAUAAAAUCUCAUUCAAUUAAAACAACUGUAAGUAAAAUAUUUUUUCUUGCAUCUUUCAUUUAGAAAGACUUCAAAGCAAGUAUACCAAUGGAUUACAUUAGAAACGUCUCCCACUAAUUAAACAGCCACCAAAAGCAGCGGAAUGGAGAUAUAGCAGCCAUACAGGACUAGAAGGAUUCCAUGCUGGUAUUUGAGGAAUGACACCAAGCAAACUCAAAACUACAGGACCUGAGCCAUCCAACAGGACAAGGGAUCUCAACAAAGCACUGUCUCCACACACUUCGUGCAGGUACAUGACUUAGGAGGUCUCCCUCUCUUCAAAUGUGCUAACUCCAGUAUUCUCCAAGCUGUAUGCAGAAGCAGGAGUGGCUUAUCUAAUAUCUGAAUUCACAAAAUGUCUGAGCAUGAGCAGCUUCGUGGUUUGGUACUUUUUGACACUGAAGUGAUACUUUAGGCUGACGAUCCUCAUGUCUGUGCCUGAGAAGAUCAUAGAGCAGAUACUCCUGGAAACUAGGUUAAGGCAUAUGUCAGAUGAGCAGGGGAUCUAAGACAGCCAGCACAGCUUCAUCAAGGGAAGAUCAUGUCUGACCACAAUCUGGUGGCCUUCUGUUAUGGAGUGGCACACUGGUGGACAAAGGAAGAGCAACUGAUGUCUACUUGGACUUCUGCAAAACCUCUGACAUGGUCCUGCACCACAUCUGCAUCUCUAAAUUAGAAAUACAUAGCUUAGAAAAGGGGGGAGGUUAUUCAGAACUAGUUGGAUGGUCACAACCAGAGGGUUGUGAUAAUUGGAUCUACAUCCAUGUAGAAAUCAGUGACAAAUGGUGUCCCUCAGGGGUCUGCCUUGGGUAUGGCGCUCUUUAACAUCUUUAUCAACAACACAUUUAGUGGGAAUGAGUGCAUCUUGGGUAAGCUUGCUGAUGACACUAAGCUGAGUGAUGCAGUUGAUACAACAGAUGCCAUUUGGAGAGACCUGGACAGGCUUGAGAAGUGGACCAUGUAAAACUAAUGAGGUUUAACAACACCAAGUGCAAGAUAUUGUACCUGGGUUGACCCAAUUCCAGAUAACUCUACAGACAGGGAGAAGAACUCACUGAAUGCAGCCCUGUAGAGGAAAACUUGGGGCUCCUGGUGGAUGAAAAUCUGGACAUGAGCCAGCAGUGUGCUCUUGCAGCCUGGAAAACCAACAGUAUCGCGGGCUGCAUCAAAAGAUGGAGAUGACUGUCCUCCUCUACAAUGUCCCUUUGAGGCCAUAACUGGAGUACUGCAUCCAGGUCUGGAGCUGGAAGAAGAGGCUCCAGGGAGACCCCACUGUGGCCUCCCAGGACUUGAAAGGAGCUUAUAAACAAGAGGAAGAUGGACUGUUUAUAUUAUCUCUUGGUGAGAGGACAAGCGGAAUUUUUUUUCAAACUAAAAGAGGGAAGAUUCAGCUGAGAUGUUAGGUGGAAUUUUUUUUACUCACGUGGUGGUGAGGCACUGGAACAGGAUGCCUAUAGAAGUUACCUUAGAAGCGUUCAAGGCCAGGCUGGGUGGGGCCCUUGGCAGCCCAAUCUGGUGGGUGGCAGCCCUGCUCAUGGCAGAGCGGCUGGAACUAGAUGACCUUUAAAGCUUAUUCCAACCUAAGCCACUCUAUGAUCUUUACCCUUUUAAAGAGCUGGAAUAAUGUGGUUUUGAGAGGAAGUUCUACAUGCUAUUUUCAACUUCUAAGCUUCCCAGUCAUACUGCUUAUUCACAGCUUUGGUAAACAAUGAUAAACAUACACUGCUAGGCAUAAUCUACUCUUCCAAAUGUACCAUUACUAAAAGAGUAAGUCUCAGUCACCAGCCAAAUACAAGAGGUUUGUCUGGGAACAAACAAUAUGUUAUUAAAACAUUUGAGAUUUUCA